rnacentral:rRNA from 1 species
AGUGAACGCUGGCGGUAGGCCUAACACAUGCAAGUCGAACGGCAGCACAGUAAAAGCUUGCUCUUACGGGUGGCGAGUGGCGGACGGGUGAGGAAUACAUCGGAAUCUACUUUUUCGUGGGGGAUAACGUAGGGAAACUUACGCUAAUACCGCAUACGACCUACGGGUGAAAGCAGGGGAUCUUCGGACCUUGCGCGAUUGAAUGAGCCGAUGUCGGAUUAGCUAGUUGGCGGGGUAAAGGCCCACCAAGGCGACGAUCCGUAGCUGGUCUGAGAGGAUGAUCAGCCACACUGGAACUGAGACACGGUCCAGACUCCUACGGGAGGCAGCAGUGGGGAAUAUUGGACAAUGGGCGCAAGCCUGAUCCAGCCAUACCGCGUGGGCGAAGAAGGCCUUCGGGUUGUAAAGCCCUUUUGUUGGGAAAGAAAAGCAGCAGGUUAAUACCCCGCUGUUCUGACGGUACCCAAAGAAUAAGCACCGGCUAACUUCGUG